UCUACCUCCGCUGACGCAAUAUUCACGUUUUCAACGAGAGUUUUCGUUUUCUGUAGUCUGAACAUGUGACUUCGUUUUUCUGUGAUCGGUCCGCAGCUGUCGAACGAAGGGUUGUAUCGUGUCAGCAGUGAGUGGCGUUGUGAACAGUUUUAUAUUACAGUUCGGCUUGUUUUCGUUCCAGAUUUCGUGCCAGUGUAUGUUUGCAUUAAUACAAAUUUAAUUUUUAAAGCUCCGUAUCAAGUUUGUAAAUCAGGCAUAUCCUUAAAUAAGUAGGACCGGACACUAGCUUUCAUAGUGCGCAGUAUGCGUGUGAAGAAGAAUGAAGCAGACCAAAUUUCUCGGAGAGUCGAGACCUAAUAGUCGAAGUAUGUGUCGUCAUAAGUCGAGUGUUCCAAGGAUUUGUGAGGAUGAUGAAGAUACAACUUCAGCUGUUCCAUUGGAGAAUAAUAAAACAGCAGGACCUGCAUAUCGAUGGCUACAGGGAGGAGUAAUAAUUCUGUGCGCUUGAGACGUGGAGAAAGAUGAGCUGUCAUCUGGAUGCUGUCUCCUCCAUCUUCAAUAUACAUAUCUCCGAUUCCUGUACUGGAAAUUUACGUUAAGUGUCUAUUCUAUCCCAUUGGCAUAAUUUGACGGCUACCUUACGUCUACCCAUCGAGGAUGACAGCAACUGUGUUAAUGACUGUGACAACUUUGUGGAUUAAAUUAUGUAAGAUAAUUUGUUAAGCAACAGAUGCCAUUUAUUUAAAAGGGUUGUGUGUACGUCUAAUUUCUAAACAACAACCCAGAAGACAGCCAUCUUCAGACUCCGUUUAUACCUCGUCUCAAAGCACGGGGCCCUCCGAAAUUCAAACCAAGUGCAGUGAUGAAGCUUUAAGGUAGAAAUAAGUCAGUUCUUGCAUGUCUCCAUAUUCGCCAUUUUGAAGAAUUCUACUAUAUCGUGUUCGACAAUAUAGAAACUUUUUAUUUGACACACUGUCGUCAAAGACAAAAACCAAACAGAUAUUUCUGACGUGAGGAUUUCAUUCGCCGCACAGCGGUUGGCUGUCAUAAUGUGGAAUGAACUCUGGAGCCUGUAAAGCUACGAGACGAUGUUCUGGCUUUAGGCCUUUACGUGGGUUAAGCUGUCCCGAAACAGCAUGGUUGGUGUUAAUGGUCUACCCGCCACGCCCCCUUCUCACUACGAGAAUUAGAAUGUGGACUGUGCCAGGGACUGCAA